GUGAGGAAUAUUGGUCAAUGGGCGAGAGCCUGAACCAGCCAAGUCGCGUGAAGGAAGAAGGAUCUAUGGUUCGUAAACUUCUUUUGCAGGGGAAUAAAGUGCAGGGCGUGUCCUGUUUUGUAUGUACCCUGAGAAUAAGGAUCGGCUAACUCCGUGCCAGCAGCCGCGGUAAUACGGAGGAUCCGAGCGUUAUCCGGAUUUAUUGGGUUUAAAGGGUGCGUAGGUGGUUUGAUAAGUCAGCGGUGAAAGUUUGCAGCUUAACUGUAAAAAUGCCGUUGAAACUGUCGGACUUGAGUGUAAAUGAGGUAGGCGGAAUGCGUGGUGUAGCGGUGAAAUGCAUAGAUAUCACGCAGAACUCCGAUUGCGAAGGCAGCUUACUAAGCUACAACUGACACUGAAGCACGAAAGCGUGGGGAUCAAACAGGAUUAGAUACCCCAGUAGUCC
rnacentral:rRNA from 1 species